rnacentral:lncRNA from 1 species
AUGUUACGGUUAGUGAAAAAGCAGUUAUGGAUCCAUAAUAUGGCGCUAACACCUACUUGAAUGUUUGCGUUAUUGCCAUUUACUGUACCAAACAUUAUCCGGCGUGCGCCCUAAAUGGCGUAUUCGUACGUCAGUCGUCUGAGCUUUUCUAUACAAAAAACACACAAACAACAGUAACAAAACGGGCAUUAUGAGUUUAAACCCUCAAAACCGCGACAUGACAUCAAAAACUUUUCAACACAACACCACAUCAACACGCCAACAACACAGUCUAACAAUGCCAGAGAGGCAGGGAAGACGGUGUGACAGAUGAUUAACGCAUAAAAUGCGAUCGUAUAACGUCGAAUGCCGACUCACGUAAUGCAAACGUAAUUUUU